CGCGCCGCCUCCGCCCGGAGCCGCUCCCGGCCCGCCAGGGCUGCGGGGGCCGCGGGGCUCCCUCCGUCCCCGGGGCUCCGAGACCCCCCGCGGGUCCCCACGCACGUCCCGCGGGAGCCGGUACUUUCAGUCUCCUCCCCCAGGGCCCCGUCCCUGCUGAGCCCCCUCUCUCAUCCCGUGCGGGACUUGCGGCGGGUCCUGCAGCUCCCGGGGGUGCCCGGCCCUUCGUGGAGCACCCCGGGCUGUCCACCGGCGGCGUUUGGGGGCACACCUGUGAGCCGGCCCCGGGAGAUCUCCACAUUAGCAGCUGGCCAGACUUGUGCAUUUUGGGGAUGCAAGGGCAAGCAGCAUCCCCAGGAGAUGUAAAUGAUUUUUUUUUUCAGAUGAAUUGAACACAUUUCCAGAAAACACGGCUGUUUUAAACCCCAAAUGCAGGCACCACUCAGCUGGUGGAGGUGCCCUUCUGCCUGUCCAUUGUCCAGUGUCCACCCUGGUUUUCCAUGGGUGCACAAGGGAAAUCUUGGAGCUUCCUGCAGCCUCAGUGUGAACAGAGGGACCUGUGAGCCCUGGGAGCUCCAUGGGAAAAGCUUCCUCUACUGAGAGUUAGUCACUCUGGCCUGGCUUUAUGAGAAGGAAAGCCAAGAGGAGCAGCACAUUCUCCAGCAGUGCCUGUGGAAUGCAUUUCUACAUGGAAACCUGCUCUUCUCUGAAGGAGACAGAUCAGAGGGGUGCAGCUUGGGGCCCAGCUCCAGGGUGCAGCUGUGGAAACAAACCUCCUACAAGGAAGAGCACCUUGGAUCUCCUGGAGCUUCACCUUUCAGGCCCAGAGCAAACCUUCAGCCAGUCCUCACAGCCCCGGUGCUGGGAAGGGCCACGUGCAGCCAUCACCAGCCCUGCUGAGGAUGCUCCAUGGAUGCUCCAGGUGUCUUAGGUCAGAAGAUGUGGCUUGGGGCUGUGUUCAAUCAUCAUCAAUUAGAGGUGGGGCAGUUCUCUGCUGUUUAUUGGGCAGUUUUCUUUAUCUCUUCCACAAUCAAUCCUCCCUCAAGGAGAUCUCUGCUGUUCAUGCACCAUUAAUUAUUUAUUAUCUUCUGUUCAUGGCCAGGGAGUGUCCCUGCAUGGCUGAUCAAAUUUCAUCAUCCCAGGGGAGGAGCCAAGCAUUCCUACCUGGAUCCAAUCUGCCCUGGGAACAGCCCAGCAGCCUUUGCCCACUGCAUUCCCAGAGGAGCAGCUUUCUGCUGCCCUGCAUUCCCAGAGGGAGAGCAGGCCCAUCUCCAGCAGCCCUGGAGCUGCAGAGGAAAACUCCCCCCUUGUGCAGGAUCCUGCUCCAGCAGAACCACAGCUGGCACUGCAGGAGGGCUGAGCCCCCCUGGGAUGGGACUGUGCCACCAGCCUGAGCCCCCCUGGGAUGGGACUGUGCCACCAGCCUGAGCCCCCCUGGGAUGGGACUGUGCCACCAGCCUGAGCCCCCCUGGGAUGGGACUGUGCCACCAGCCUGAGCCCUCCUGGGAUGGGACUGUGCCACCACCCUGACAGACAGGGGGCCAGGGCCUGCUCUGACUCUGGAAGUGCUUUGUUUUGUAUUGUUGCACUUGUAUUUUUAAUUUUCUAGUAAAGAACUGUUAUUCCUAUUCUCA